CUUGUACUCCCUCCGUCCGAAAAUACUUGUCAUCGAAAUGGAUGUAUCUAGAUGUAUUUUAGUUCUAGACACAUCCAUUUUGAUGACAAGUAAUUCCGGACGGAAGGGGUACUUG
rnacentral:pre_miRNA from 1 species